UUAAGUUAUUAAGGGCGCACGGUGGAUGCCUUGGCACUAGAAGCCGAUGAAGGACGUUACUAACGACGAUAUGCUUUGGGGAGCUGUAAGUAAGCUUUGAUCCAGAGAUUUCCGAAUGGGGAAACCCAGCAUGAGUUAUGUCAUGUUAUCGAUAUGUGAAUACAUAGCAUAUCAGAAGGCACACCCGGAGAACUGAAACAUCUUAGUACCCGGAGGAAGAGAAAGAAAAUUCGAUUCCCUUAGUAGCGGCGAGCGAAACGGGAAGAGCCCAAACCAACAAGCUUGCUUGUUGGGGUUGUAGGACACUCUAUACGGAGUUACAAAGGACGACAUUAGACGAAUCAUCUGGAAAGAUGAAUCAAAGAAGGUAAUAAUCCUGUAGUCGAAAAUGUUGUCUCUCUUGAGUGGAUCCUGAGUACGACGGAGCACGUGAAAUUCCGUCGGAAUCUGGGAGGACCAUCUCCUAAGGCUAAAUACUCUCUAGUGACCGAUAGUGAACCAGUACCGUGAGGGAAAGGUGAAAAGCACCCCGGAAGGGGAGUGAAACAGAACCUGAAACCGUGUGCUUACAAGUAGUCAGAGCCCGUUAAUGGGUGAUGGCGUGCCUUUUGUAGAAUGAACCGGCGAGUUACGAUUUGAUGCAAGGUUAAGCAGUAAAUGUGGAGCCGUAGCGAAAGCGAGUCUGAAUAGGGCGUUUAGUAUUUGGUCGUAGACCCGAAACCAGGUGAUCUACCCUUGGUCAGGUUGAAGUUCAGGUAACACUGAAUGGAGGACCGAACCGACUUACGUUGAAAAGUGAGCGGAUGAACUGAGGGUAGCGGAGAAAUUCCAAUCGAACCUGGAGAUAGCUGGUUCUCUCCGAAAUAGCUUUAGGGCUAGCCUCAAGUGAUGAUUAUUGGAGGUAGAGCACUGUUUGGACGAGGGGCCCCUCUCGGGUUACCGAAUUCAGACAAACUCCGAAUGCCAAUUAAUUUAACUUGGGAGUCAGAACAUGGGUGAUAAGGUCCGUGUUCGAAAGGGAAACAGCCCAGACCACCAGCUAAGGUCCCAAAAUAUAUGUUAAGUGGAAAAGGAUGUGGCGUUGCCCAGACAACUAGGAUGUUGGCUUAGAAGCAGCCAUCAUUUAAAGAGUGCGUAAUAGCUCACUAGUCGAGUGACACUGCGCCGAAAAUGUACCGGGGCUAAACAUAUUACCGAAGCUGUGGAUUGUCCUUUGGACAAUGGUAGGAGAGCGUUCUAAGGGCGUUGAAGCAUGAUCGUAAGGACAUGUGGAGCGCUUAGAAGUGAGAAUGCCGGUGUGAGUAGCGAAAGACGGGUGAGAAUCCCGUCCACCGAUUGACUAAGGUUUCCAGAGGAAGGCUCGUCCGCUCUGGGUUAGUCGGGUCCUAAGCUGAGGCCUACAGGCGUAGGCGAUGGAUAACAGGUUGAUAUUCCUGUACCACCUAUAAUCGUUUUAAUCGAUGGGGGGACGCAGUAGGAUAGGCGAAGCGUGCGAUUGGAUUGCACGUCUAAGCAGUAAGGCUGAGUAUUAGGCAAAUCCGGUACUCAUUAAGGCUGAGCUGUGAUGGGGAGAAGACAUUGUGUCUUCGAGUCGUUGAUUUCACACUGCCGAGAAAAGCCUCUAGAUAGAAAAUAGGUGCCCGUACCGCAAACCGACACAGGUAGUCAAGAUGAGAAUUCUAAGGUGAGCGAGCGAACUCUCGUUAAGGAACUCGGCAAAAUGACCCCGUAACUUCGGGAGAAGGGGUGCUCUUUAGGGUUAACGCCCAGAAGAGCCGCAGUGAAUAGGCCCAAGCGACUGUUUAUCAAAAACACAGGUCUCUGCUAAACCGUAAGGUGAUGUAUAGGGGCUGACGCCUGCCCGGUGCUGGAAGGUUAAGAGGAGUGGUUAGCUUCUGCGAAGCUACGAAUCGAAGCCCCAGUAAACGGCGGCCGUAACUAUAACGGUCCUAAGGUAGCGAAAUUCCUUGUCGGGUAAGUUCCGACCCGCACGAAAGGCGUAACGAUUUGGGCACUGUCUCAACGAGAGACUCGGUGAAAUCAUAGUACCUGUGAAGAUGCAGGUUACCCGCGACAGGACGGAAAGACCCCGUGGAGCUUUACUGUAGCCUGAUAUUGAAAUUCGGCACAGCUUGUACAGGAUAGGUAGGAGCCUUUGAAACGUGAGCGCUAGCUUACGUGGAGGCGCUGGUGGGAUACUACCCUAGCUGUGUUGGCUUUCUAACCCGCACCACUUAUCGUGGUGGGAGACAGUGUCAGGCGGGCAGUUUGACUGGGGCGGUCGCCUCCUAAAAGGUAACGGAGGCGCUCAAAGGUUCCCUCAGAAUGGUUGGAAAUCAUUCAUAGAGUGUAAAGGCAUAAGGGAGCUUGACUGCGAGACCUACAAGUCGAGCAGGGUCGAAAGACGGACUUAGUGAUCCGGUGGUUCCGCAUGGAAGGGCCAUCGCUCAACGGAUAAAAGCUACCCCGGGGAUAACAGGCUUAUCUCCCCCAAGAGUUCACAUCGACGGGGAGGUUUGGCACCUCGAUGUCGGCUCAUCGCAUCCUGGGGCUGUAGUCGGUCCCAAGGGUUGGGCUGUUCGCCCAUUAAAGCGGUACGCGAGCUGGGUUCAGAACGUCGUGAGACAGUUCGGUCCCUAUCCGUCGUGGGCGUAGGAAAUUUGAGAGGAGCUGUCCUUAGUACGAGAGGACCGGGAUGGACAUACCUCUGGUGUACCAGUUGUCGUGCCAACGGCAUAGCUGGGUAGCUAUGUGUGGACGGGAUAAGUGCUGAAAGCAUCUAAGCAUGAAGCCCCCCUCAAGAUGAGAUUUCCCAACUUCGGUUAUAAGAUCCCUCAAAGAUGAUGAGGUUAAUAGGUUCGAGGUGGAAGCAUGGUGACAUGUGGAGCUGACGAAUACUAAUCGAUCGAAGACUUAAUCAA
rnacentral:rRNA from 1 species